ACGGGAGGCAGCAGUGGGGAAUCUUGCGCAAUGGGCGAAAGCCUGACGCAGCAACGCCGCGUGGGGGAUGACGGCCUUCGGGUUGUAAACCUCUUUCGACAGGGACGAAGCUUUCGGGUGACGGUACCUGUAGAAGAAGCACCGGCUAACUACGUGCCAGCAGCCGCGGUAAUACGUAGGGUGCGAGCGUUGUCCGGAUUUAUUGGGCGUAAAGAGCUCGUAGGCGGUUUGUCGCGUCGGCCGUGAAAACCUGCAGCUUAACUGUGGGCGUGCGGUCGAUACGGGCAGACUUGAGUUCGGCAGGGGAGACUGGAAUUCCUGGUGUAGCGGUGAAAUGCGCAGAUAUCAGGAGGAACACCGGUGGCGAAGGCGGGUCUCUGGGCCGAUACUGACGCUGAGGAGCGAAAGCAUGGGGAGCGAACAGGAUUAGAUACCCUGGUAGUCCAUGCCGUAAACGUUGGGCGCUAGGUGUGGGGAUGGGUUCCACCGUUUCCGUGCCGUAGCUAACGCAUUAAGCGCCCCGCCUGGGGAGUACGGCCGCAAGGCUAAAACUCAAAGGAAUUGAC
rnacentral:rRNA from 1 species